rnacentral:rRNA from 3 species
AGCAGCCGCGGUAAUUCCAGCUCCAAUAGCGUAUAUUAAAGUUGUUGCAGUUAAAAAGCUCGUAGUUGAAUUUCGGGGUCAGUAGGUCGGUCGUGCCACUGGUAUGAACUGGUUUUACUGAUUCCUCCCUCUUGAAGAACUGUAAUGCCAUUAAUUUGGUGUUGCAGGGAAUCAGGACUGUUACUUUGAAAAAAUUAGAGUGUUUAAAGCAGGCUUUAGCUUGAAUACAUUAGCAUGGAAUAAUGAAAUAGGACGUUUGAUCCUAUUUUGUUGGUUUCUAGGAUUGACGUAAUGAUUAAUAGGGAUAGUUGGGGGCAUUAGUAUUCAAUUGUCAGAGGUGAAAUUCUUGGAUUUAUUGAAGACUAACUACUGCGAAAGCAUUUGCCAAGGAUGUUUUCAUUAAUCAAGAACGAAAGUUAGGGGAUCGAAGACGAUCAGAUACCGUCGUAGUCUUAACCAUAAACUAUGCCGACUAGGGAUCGGAUGAUGUUAAUUUUUUAAUGACUCAUUCGGCGCCUUACG